ensembl:lncRNA
UUUAUUCUACUACUUGCUAUUGUGUUUCUCCCAGAUAGUAGCUAUUAUGUGAAGUUGACAUUGCAGGUGUGCAGCACAGGCCUCUAUGUUAUCAAGGCAUUAUGGAACUACAUGAACCGAAUAUUUUAACUGAAAUAAUCAAAAAUUACUUAUUAUAUUUGAAGCCAAAUAGGAGUAGCUUGGCUUUCCUCCAAUAUGUGCUAGCAACAAUACCCCAAGUUUGUUAAUAUAUUGCAAACUUUUUAUAAGCAAGAGAUCACAAGGAAAAUCAGUUAGUCCCCUUCUGAAGUAUACAAAUCAUGUACUCAUUCAAUACAUACCAAAUCCUUCUCAGACAUCUUUGAAGUUUUCUUUCUGAGAAUACACCAGGCUACCUAAUAAAUACAAAUGUCUUUUAUGAGUGGAUUAAAUUCCCAGUGAGGUAUAUAGAGUUCAGGUACAUCACAAAGAUCCUUUCAAUGAGUUAAGCAAAGCUAGAGAAAACAUCACCACUCACUGAAAGAUAUUCAACUGUUUGUUUUUCAAAGUUUGCACAGAAUUUCUUUAAUGUAUUUGAAAUAUUUCUUUUUUGGAAAUGAAUUAGUCCUCUAAAUUACUUGUUCAAACAAUUAAUACUUUAUAUGUAUAAAUUCAUUUUUUCAACUUACUUUGUCACCUUACAUAUGAAUGUAUAAAAAGACAAGACAAUAAAUAACAUAUACAAAAACCAAAUAAAAUUGACUGCUUCAAUGAAUCACUGCACUAUUACUUGUACAAUAUAAAUUCCUCAUUAACAAAUUUACAUAUAAAAAGCCUGUGCUCUCUGCCUUAAAAGACUGAAUGGGUGAGAUUGUCUAUGGAAAGGUGUCCUUGCAAGCAGAAAUCUCCAGAGUAUCCAAAGUGCUGUCAUCAUGCAAGCAAUCAACGUGGUCAUGAACAGAAGAAUCCAGUGAAGACAUUGCUGCAUUGUGAAGCUGCAAAAUAAGCAUUACUGCAACUCCUCAACCUCUGAAUACAGGCAGAGCCACAACAGCCCGGAGCUGCCACAGCUCUGGAAACGCUGACAGAUUCUUGAACUGCACCCACCCACGGCUGCUCAGAUGUCCCUGCUCUUGGAGGCAGCUGUGGGUGGGAGAAUGGACAAUAGGUGGGAAGGAGUGAUGGUUCUGUGCUCACUCGGCAGAAUCCAUGACAGCUGACCCAGAGCAGUGCAAGAACAGCAGCUGGAACUGCUUAGGGCAUCGCAGAUGAGAGGGACAAGGAGAGGAAGGAGGGAAGGUAAGAGCAGCCAAAGAGAUGAUGCAGCUAAAAGAUUAUUCCCGAAAACAGCAUUGAAGCCUAUGAUUAAAUCAUUAAAACAAAGGCUGCAAUACUGAAAACUUCUUAAAGCUGGAAAAAAUUUAUCAAAGUAACUUGUUUCCAAAUGAUGAACACCAUGAAACUUUAAUUUAAAGUUAUUAGAAGGUAUGAGUGCUUAACAGUGAUACAGACCAGGUCAUUUGGUUAUUUAAGAGGGAGUGAUGAAAUCUCAUCUAUGAUAUAGGCUACACAUCUCAGAUUUGGGGUUGGGAGGUUUUCAUGGGCCAGGCUGAUGCAGCAGUGACAUAUCUGAGUGCUUUUCCAUGUACAGGGGGGAGCUAAUCCCCAUCUCCUCUGAUUCCUCUCCAGGAAAGACAGAGCAUACAAGAAAUCCAAAGACUAACAGUUUAUGCUGAUUUAGGGAUAUACCUGUAGAUAUGUCUGGGAUUUGAAAAUUUUGUUUGCUGUGACUUCAUGCAUGAGCAAAAUAACUCCUUUUUCCAAAUCCUAGUAAAUCAAUAGCUGCCACUAAAUAUGAAACUAUUUCUGAAUCUCCAUGGUAAAUGAAGAAUCCAUGUCUUAUCUAGCCCUCAAUAUAAAAGGAUAUCAAAUUCUCGAGGUCAUAUUUUACACUCCCUGCUAGCACACAGUACAAUUUAUUAGCUUGUGGAUCACAAAUAAUAACUUAUGAUAUAUUAGUCUAGGCAGAGAAUAACCCACCUAUGCCAGUGAGACCCAGAAGGCAUUCAGAAGUUUAUUUCCCCCCCGUGUCUUCCAUUCUGAAGACUUGGGAAAAUGUGAUUCCAGCUGAUUCCACUGACUUGUCUUCUCCACAUAAAUAGCAAUUUAAAAGACAGAAAUGUUAAAAGGCUGCUGUCUGUUGAGCUCAAUAUAUUACAUCUGGAGAGAAGGCCAUUAUGACCUGAUAAAUUGGAACUGAUAAAUCUUAGCUUGUAUCCAGAUCAUGAGAAAAAAUUAUUCAUGAGGAUGGAAGAGAAAACCAUAAUGUUAUGUUACAUUUGCCUCCUCUCCAGGAAUAUACCUAGAAAUGUAAACAUUUCAGGAAAUAAUGUGAUCUAAUCAGCAACUCUUAUAUUGUGAUUGGAAAGGACUACUCUGUCUCCAAAAAUUACUACAAUCUGUACAUCAAAAGAGAAAUGAAAGCUCUGCAAGUUUAUGUAGUAUUUAAAUGUUGCUGAACUACAAAUGUAAUGGUAAAUUCAAGGCAAGAAAAAGUAACCUAUUUCUUCAAGACUGAGAAGUCAUGAGGGUCGUGACUAGUUCAAAUGAUCAGAAACUACACUGGAAGUGUGUCUCUUGAGCUGUACACUUUACACAUCAAAUGCUUUGCAGUGCAACAAGCUACAGAGUACAUAUUACCUUGGGAAAAUGUCCUCUUACGUGUUUUCUAAGUCUCCUGUGCAUUUGUAUAUUAACAGAUUCAUACCAUAUAGUUUUUCUACCCUUUUUAUCUCAUCCAUUAACACAGAACAAAGUGUUCUCAGGAAUAAGUAUUCUCUUUUUCUUUAAAUGAUAAAAACUAAGUAUGAUAGGUAGUAAAUUUUACAAAUAUUUUGUCACAGUGAGCAACCACACAGUGUAACACAUCCAGUGUAGCACUUACAAAUUCAAAAUAUCAACUAUAAAUAUAGUCAGUAAGCAAAUCCUAAGAGUUUCCAGAAUUAAAGCUCAGAGCUGAUAUGUGCUUAACACACUAUACAAGUGCUGCCAUGCCAAAGACAGUUGACACCUUUAAGUUGGUGAACUCCACAGACACUAUCAUAUUAAAAACAAUGCACAUUUGGAAGAGGUGGGCAGAGCAUUUGAAAAGGCUUUUCAGCCCUAGCUGGCAUUCUUCUGGCACAAAAUCUUAGUUUAACAGAUACUGGUGUAAAUAUAAAUUAUUAAACUGAACUAUAUUCAUCUGGGAAGGAAUCUUCUUCUUUUUUAUGGGAAUACCCACAAAAUCGUUCUUAAUUCCUCAAAGAAGGAGAGAAGGUUUCAACUUCUGGAUAGCACUUCCCCUAUUCACCUCAAAUUGUCUCAAGUAAUUUAAUUCACAGACAGAGCACAGAAGCAGGACUGGAAACUACCACAUUAACUUCUGAUAAGAGAUAGAUAAAUAUAGGAAACGAGCAUAGUCAGACCCACAAGACAACCUCCAAGACAAGGACUGUCAUUAAAAAUAAGACAUGAGCUGGCCAGACAUUUCUGUUCUCUUUUCCACAUUCAACAACAAAUUCUUCUGGUGAUUUUGUUUUGUUGAAUCCUUAAUUUCGGAGUGCUGCUACUGCCUCCAAGGUAGCAUUGAGAGGUGGAGAACAGUAUAAGGCAUACAGAUGCAGGAGCCAGCAACUGGGGAACAGUUACUGUGGUACUUAAAGGGAACCUGCAGAAGAGCUGCAGAGGGACUUUGGACAAGGGCUUGGAGGAACAGAGCAAGGAAGAAGACUUUAAAUUGAAAAAGAAAUUCUUUACUGUGAAGGUGGUGAGGGUCUGGCACAGGCUGCCCAAAGAAGAUGUGGAUAUGUGAUCCCUGGAAGUGUUUAAGGCCAGGCUGGAUGGUGUUUUGGGCAACCUGGUCUGUUGGAAAGUGUUCCUGUCUGUAGGAGGAGAGUUGUAACAAGAGAUGAUCUUUAAAAUCUCUUCCAACCCAAGCCAUUCUACAGGCCUAUAAUUCUGUCUUUUCAGUAUAGUUUUUUAAUAUUCUCUGCCUCCUGCUGCUUUUCAGGAAGUGAAAAAAACCUCGAUCACAAUAAAUGAAAUAUUGGCCAACUCUUCAAAUGGGUACCCAACAUUGCUAUGCCUGCAAUGCCUUUCUGCUCACAAGCAGACAUAAAUCUCUUCUCUGCUACUAUCAGGAGCUUUAUUAUCAAAAAAAAAAAUACUAUGGGGGUGAAAAAGGACUCCCAUGAUGGUCACCUCAUCGUAACCACUCUUCUGACUCUUACUCUAAAUUCAACUUCAAGUGACUUCAUCCAUAUCAAGAAAAGAAUAUUGAAGCCAAAAAGCCUUAUAAAACAUUUGACUCAUCAUGGUUUUUAAAUCAUUUUAAUGCAUCAAGUUGAAAAAAAAGAUGCAAAGAUUGAAAAAGUAUCUUUUGAGUCCUCACAGAAACAUUUGUAGCCCUGUUUGUGAGAGCAGGACAACACCAGAUUCAUUCUAUGAAACUCCAUAUCCUGCUGGAGACUAGAAGAGAGACCAGCUUCAGUUUCAUUCAAAUCCCAAGACAGGUAAAACAUGGUUCAUUCUGAACAUUUGCAUUCUUUCAAAAUAAUCAAUUUAUGCGUCUAUUAAAAAAAAAAAAAAAA